AUUCCAUGAUGAGGGUAUUUUCGUAAUAAUUCUUUGUACCUUUUCCAUGCCUCAUACAAGGACUCGUCAUCAAUUUGUUGGAAAGCAGAGAUCUCAAUUCCUCAACUU
rfam:Gossypium hirsutum cultivar TM-1 chromosome 12, whole genome shotgun sequence